AACUGUAGUCUCAGGCGAUGAGGUGGUGCCUGCUCCGCGUCUCUGUCUCUUUCUAAAUACAUGAUAUAUAAUUAUAUACUUUAUAUAAAAAUAAAUGAGCCUGUGUUGAGAUAUUUGACUGUCUCAUUAUAUGGCAGUGCUUUGCUGUUAAAAUGCUUGGUUUUGCAGAGCAGCUAACCUUUCCCCACUGAUUACUUAAAUAAUUUUCACCUCUGUGUAUGUUUUGCUGUUCCAUCCCAAUGCUGUUGUCCUUGCUGCAGUGCUGCUCCUGGAUCAGUUCCAGUUUAAAUAACGGGAUUGCAAUACAUGAAGCUGAGGGAGAAAAGGAUGUAUCUCAAAGGAGUUUCCCCAGAUGGUGACGGUCCAGUUUCUGAAAGAAGAAAGACGACUCCCAUCUGAUGGGGUCCAGCUCCCCAGAUGUGUGUCCACCUUUUAAUUGCAGAGACUAUAAAUCUCAUAACAGUGAUGUCCAGCUUCCCUUUGGUUGAAACCAUAAACCCUUGAGGUGAUGUUCAUCUUCCUUUCUCAAGCUGUUUUUCUCUGCUUCAAUAAGAGCACAGAAGCUGAGCCCCAUAAAUAAUGCAGCUGAUAUCAGGAAGAAGCUGGAGGUGUAGAAGACGUAGUGGAAAUCACUGGUUAUGUCUACCAGGAAACCUGGAAUAGAAAUCAAAGCUUAGCCAAAGAGAAGAGGCACUGAAGGCAUUCAUUUACAUGCACGUUAAACCUGAAUCGUUCAGCAAACUGCCAUAUACAAAAGACAAGAAUUCUCUCAUGAGUUAAGUUCUCUUCUCUGGAUUCUAGUGGUUGUUUAGUUUUUAUUUGUAGUCACAAGUCAGGUGAUACUUCUGUAGAAAGUAUUUCUCAAUACACACAGAAAUCAGGAAAGAAAGGAAAUUGUAAUUUUUCCCCAACCUGCUGCUUCAUUUCAUUUGCUCAGCAGAGAACCCUUGUGCCACUGCCACUCAGUGGCUUUUGGAAUGAGUGACCCUAUUAUGUCCUGGGGCAGAAAAUAGAACAACUAGAUAGAGAAGUAGCUCAGAAACUUACAUAGUAAGGUCUCCAAACUGAACAUUUGUCUCUAAUCCUGUUUAAUGAAGGAUAAGGAAAUUCACAGCACACCAAGAUUAUGACUAACAUAAAGUGACCUCAGUAUAAACCAUUUAGAAACAUGAGAUAUAGAGGGAGUCAUUUAACACUAAUAUUAGAGAUGGAAAAGUGAUACUUAGGCCAAAUACACCAUGCCUUCCAUCAUCAUAAGGCUGCUUAUCAAUAUGGAAAUACUGGAAUAAUGUUUAUUUGCUUGUAUUUUUCAGUCAAGAUUGGUGAUGUUUCUUUCCAUGGUGUACUUUUCUAUAGCAGAUUUUAGGACUGAAAUGGAGCUGCUUUUACUGUGCUUUUUUUUUGCCCAUCUGCUGCUCCUGUCAGUGAUGACCAAGAAGGGACUUUUUUGCUCUUUGAGAAAAGCGACUGACACGCUAAUGGCAGGGAGUACCAUGAAAUACACUGCAUGUUACCACCACAUUAUUGAACCAGACACAAUUUUCCUACUGAGGAGCCACAAUUCAUUGUCUGGAGAAGAGAACUAAAGCAUGAACUGAGGCUGACAUGCUCAGGUUGACAUUUGUUAUUUGUUGGUCUUUUCAAUUGACUGCAGGAGCAGGUGUGUCUUGGACAGGUCACUUAGUGCCAUUUGGAGUGAACUGUGAAUAAUUUAUUAGACUGAGAGUCUUAACUAGCUCCUUUCUUGUCUCCAGAGAAAAAUUAAUAUGUUCCAGAACUUGGAAAGAAGACUGAACAGAAGCUUUUACUGUGGGGCUUUUGAAUAAUGUAGGAGUGGUAAUAAUUGUGAACACAAAUAAUUCAUUUAAUGGGAUGUUCACAAUUUCUUGAGACUUCAUGGAUAAAGCAAUGCAAACUGGUAAAAAGGUGAAAAAGUUCAUAGUUAUUCCUGUUGGCUUCUUGCCACUGGAAAAAAGCUGUUGUUGCUCCCAUAUGUAUCAGAUCACAUACCAAGUGAGUAACUUUUUCACUGUGAUCUCAAUGCAGCUGUUGAAAUUACUUUCCAGCUGUCAAAAGAGGCUGAUGAUUCUUUUCCAACCGCACCUUUUAUACUGCUCCCUUUGCAUAACUCACCUACACCAAGGGUCUGGAAACUCCCUAAUUCCUCUUCUUGAUGCUCCCAAGCACUUGCCACCAGUUUCCAAACCACCACCUUUCCCCCAGCCAGGCUUCAUAGCCUCUCUCACCUGUGAGCGGGGCCCCGAUGAGGAGGGUGGUGCUCUCUAGGAUGGUGAAGAGCCCUAGAGCACUGGAGAACCUGUCCAUCUCCACCACAUCCAUCAGCACCUGGAAGGUGAGCGCCCCGACGCCGCUCAUGGCUAUGCUGAGGAUGACGCAGUAGAGGAUGAGCACGCUGAACUCAGCUGAGAUGACACAGAUGAAGUUGCUGAGCCCGCAGAGGAGCACGGCCAGGCUGAACAGGUAGAUGCGCCUUCCCGUGAAGACUCUGUGUCCCGAGAGCAGCCCUGUGAAAGGGCGGAUGAAGAUGUUGAUGAGCCCGAUGACGGAGAUGAGGAGGGCUGCCUUGCGCUCCUCCACCCCGUUGUGGAUGGCAUAAGGCACAAGGUAGACAUGGGGUAAGGCAAACCCCAUCAUCAUCCAGGUUACUCCAAUAGUGUAAAUCUGGUAACCUUUGUUUUGACAGAAGAUGUCAAAAGCCAGGUACUUCUGCAGCAUCUGGAAGCAUUUUGUCCUUUUGGUGUGCUCCUGGAGUGUGGGGUGGUGAGGAGAUGCUCCAUUGGACAGCUGUGUCUCUUCUGCUCUGCUCCCUGGCUCCUCUUCGGGCUUGGCAGACUGUGGAAGUGACCCUGAUGCCAGCUGAAUGGGUCUCAUGAUGGCUCCACAAACACAGCCGUUCAGCAGUAUUCCUCCAAAGAUGAGGAAGGUGUUUCUCCAGCCCAUCUCAUCCAGCAAGUACUGAGACACCAGUGGCCACAGCGUGAAGCCGAGGGAGACCCCGGUGGAGGCCACGGCAUUGGCCAGCGUUCGCCACCGCACAAAGUAAUAGCCCAGCACAGUCACUCCUGCCUGGAAGCUGAAACAUGAUCCCAGACCUAAAGAUGAGAAUAAAUGAUCUUUCUUUGUUGUCUUAAAGGGGGAAAAGAGCCCAAAUUCACGGUGUACCCACAGAUGAUUUCAUCUGCCAUUGAAGCAUUUUCUGACCUGCCAGGCCACAUAGCCCCCAGGGAUUGAUUAAUACUCAGAAACCCCACACCAGGAUGAAGAAGGUUGUUAUGUGUAAAUUAAACUAUUUGUGUUCUUGGGUAUAGUAAAUAUACUGAUCUAAACUGACGUUUUUCUGGGACACCGUGCAAUUCUUAAGUUGCUAUGGAAUUGUUCAUUAAAAGCUUGGAUUUUAUUCCACA